rnacentral:rRNA from 1 species
GACGAACGCUGGCGGCGUGCCUAAUACAUGCACGUUGAGCGCUGAAGGUUGGUACUUGUACCGACUGGAUGAGCAGCGAACGGGUGAGUAACGCGUGGGGAAUCUGCCUUUGAGCGGGGGACAACAUUUGGAAACGAAUGCUAAUACCGCAUAAAAACUUUAAACACAAGUUUUAAGUUUGAAAGAUGCAAUUGCAUCACUCAAAGAUGAUCCCGCGUUGUAUUAGCUAGUUGGUGAGGUAAAGGCUCACCAAGGCGAUGAUACAUAGCCGACCUGAGAGGGUGGUCGGCCACAUUGGGACUGAGACACGGCCCAAACUCCUACGGGAGGCAGCAGUAGGGAAUCUUCGGCAAUGGACGAAAGUCUGGACGAGCAACGCCGCGUGAGUGAAGAAGGGUUUCGGAUCGUAAAACUCUGUUGGUAGAGAAGAACGUUGGUGAGAGUGGAAAGCUCAUCAAGUGACGGUAACUACCCAGAAAGGGACGGCUAACUACGUG